rnacentral:rRNA from 1 species
UACGUAGGUGACAAGCGUUGUCCGGAUUUCCUGGGCGUAAAGAGCGCGCAGGCGGUCGAUCAAGUCGAGUGUGAAAGCCCCCGGCUCAACUGGGGAGGGUCAUUCGAUACUGAUCGACUCGAAGGCAGGAGAGGGUAGUGGAAUUCCCGGUGUAGUGGUGAAAUGCGUAGAUAUCGGGAGGAACACCAGUGGCGAAGGCGACUACCUGGCCUGUUCUUGACGCUGAGGCGCGAAAGCUAGGGGAGCAAACGGG